CGAGAAUCUUCGGCAAUGGGCGCAAGCCUGACCGAGCGACGCCGCGUGGAGGACGAAGGCCUUCGGGUUGUAAACUCCUGUCGAGGGGGAAAAAGGGUCGCAAGACCUUGAUUGAUCCCUGGAGGAAGCACGGGCUAAGUUCGUGCCAGCAGCCGCGGUAAGACGAACCGUGCGAACGUUAUUCGGAAUCAUUGGGCUUAAAGCGCGUGUAGGCGGAUUCGUGCGUCUGUCGCUGAAAUCCCCCGGCUCAACCGGGGAAGGGGCGUGGAUACGACGAGUCUGGAGGGGCAUAGGGGGACCUGGAACUUCCGGUGGAGCGGUGAAAUGCGUUGAGAUCGGAAGGAACGCCCGUGGCGAAAGCGAGGUCCUGGAUGCCUACUGACGCUGAGACGCGAAAGCCAGGGGAGCGAACGGGAUUAGAUACCCCGGUAGUCCUGGCCGUAAACGAUGGGUACUGGAUAGGGGGCUCGCCGAUGGGCUCCCUGUCGUAGGGAAACCGUGAAGUACCCCGCCUGGGGAGUAUGGUCGCAAGGCUG
rnacentral:rRNA from 1 species